rnacentral:sRNA from 1 species
UAAUAGCCCGAUCGUCACGAUGGCUACGAUAGUUGUAUACAGUGCGGCUCUGCAUCAUCAGCCUGCACCCUCUGCGUACUCCGAUACGGUACGCCGCCAGCAGAUAUUCCACGGCAUCACGCUUCUGCAGCGGCCUC